GAUGAACGCUAGCGGGAGGCCUAACACAUGCAAGCCGAGCGGUAUUGUUUCUUCGGAAAUGAGAGAGCGGCGUACGGGUGCGUAACACGUGUGCAACCUGCCUUUAUCUGGGGGAUAGCCUUUCGAAAGGAAGAUUAAUACUCCAUAAUAUAUUGAACGGCAUCGUUUAAUAUUGAAAGCUCCGGCGGAUAGAGAUGGGCACGCGCAAGAUUAGCUAGUUGGUGAGGUAACGGCUCACCAAGGCGAAGAUCUUUAGGGGGCCUGAGAGGGUGAUCCCCCACACUGGUACUGAGACACGGACCAGACUCCUACGGGAGGCAGCAGUGAGGAAUAUUGGUCAAUGGGUGCAAGCCUGAACCAGCCAUCCCGCGUGAAGGACGACUGCCCUAUGGGUUGUAAACUUCUUUUGUAUAGGGAUAAACCUACCCUCGAGAGGGUAGCUGAAGGUACUAUACGAAUAAGCACCGGCUAACUCCGUG
rnacentral:rRNA from 1 species